rnacentral:rRNA from 1 species
GGUUCGAUUAUGGCUCAGAUUGAACGCUGGCGGGAUGCUUUACACAUGCAAGUCGAACGGCAGCACGGACUUCGGUCUGGUGGCGAGUGGCGAACGGGUGAGUAAUGUAUCGGAACGUGCCUAGUAGCGGGAGAUAACUACGCGAGCGUAGCUAAUACCGCAUACGCCCUUCGGGGGAAAGCGGGGACCUUCGGGCCUCGCACUAUUAGGAGCGGCCGAUAUCGGAUUAGCUAGUUGGUGGGUAAACGCUCACCAAGGCGACGAUCCGUAGCUGGUUUGAGAGGACGACCAGCCACACUGGGACUGAGACACGGCCCAGACUCCUACGGGAGGCAGCAGUGGGGAAUUUUGGACAAUGGGGAAACCCUGAUCCAGCCAUCCCGCGUGCGAUGAAGGCCUUCGGGUUGUAAAGCACUUUUGGCAGGAAAGAACGGCACGGGAUAAUACCCCGUGCAACUGACGGUACCUGCAGAAUAAGCAGCACCGCCAACUACGUGCCAGCAGCCGCGGUAAUACGUAGGGUAAGCGUUAAUCGGAAUUACUGGGCGUAAGCGUGCGCAGGCGGUUCGGAAAGAAAGAUGUGUGAAAUCCCAGAGCUUAACUUUGGAACUGCAUUUUUAACUACCGAGCUAGAGUGUGUCAGAGGGAGGUGGAAUUCCGCGUGUAGCAGUGAAAUGCGUAGAUAUGCGGAGGAACACCGAUGGCGAAGGCAGCCUCCUGAUAACACUGACGCUCAUGCACGAAAGCGUUAAACAGGAUUAGAUACCCAGAAUCCACGCCCUAAACGAUGUCAACUAGCUGUUGGGGCCUUCGGGCCUUGCAGCGCGUUAACGCGUGAAGUUGACCGCCUGGGAGUACGGUCGCAAGAUUAAAACUCAAAGGAAUUGACGGGGACCCGCACAAGCGGUGGAUGAUGUGGAUUAAUCUGAUGCAACGCGAAAACUCCAUCACUCCUUGACAUGUCUGGAAUCCCGAAGAGAUUUGGGAGGCUCGCAAGAGAACCGGAACACAGGUGCUGCAUGGUUGUCGUCAGCUCGUGUCGUGAGAUGUUGGGUUAAGUCCCGCAACGAGCGCAACCCUUGUCAUUAGCUGCUACGAAAGGGCACUCUAUCGAGACUGCCGGUGACAAACCGAGGAAGGUGGGGAGACGUCAAGUCCUCAUGGCCCUUAUGGGCAGGGCUUCACACGUCAUACAGUCGGCGUCGGGACAGAGGGUCGCCAACCCGCGAGGGGGAGCCAAUCCCAGAAACCCGAUCGUAGGUCCGGAUCGCAGUCUGCAACUCGACUGCGUGAAGUCGAACAAUCGCUAGUAAUCGCGGAUCAGCAUGUCGCGGUGAAUACGUUCCCGGGUCUUGCACACACCGCCCGUCACACCAUGGGAGUGGGUUUUACCAGAAGUAGUUAGCCUAACCGUAAGGAGGCGAUUACCACGGUAGAUCCAUGACUGGGGUGAAGUCGUAACAAGGUAG